GACGUAGGGCGCGAGCGUUGUCCGGAUUUAUUGGGCGUAAAGAGCUCGUAGGCGGCUUGUCGCGUCGUCCGUGAAAAACCCCGGGGGCUCAACUCCGGGCUUGCGGGCGAUACGGGGCAGGCUAGAGUUCGGUAGGGGAGACUGGAAUUCCUGGUGUAGCGGUGAAAUGCGCAGAUAUCAGGAGGAACACCGGUGGCGAAGGGCGGGGU
rnacentral:rRNA from 1 species